AUUGAACGCUGGCGGAAUGCUUUACACAUGCAAGUCGAACGGUAGAGGGGGCAACCCCUCGAGAGUGGCGAACGGGUGAGUAAUAUAUCGGAACGUGCCCAGUCGUGGGGGAUAACGUAGCGAAAGUUACGCUAAUACCGCAUACGAUCUAAGGAUGAAAGCGGGGGAUCGCAGACCUCGCGCGAUUGGAGCGGCCGAUAUCAGAUUAGGUAGUUGGUGGGGUAAAGGCUCACCAAGCCAACGAUCUGUAGCUGGUCUGAGAGGACGACCGGCCACACUGGAACUGAGACACGGUCCAGACUCCUACGGGAGGCAGCAGUGGGGAAUUUUGGACAAUGGACGCAAGUCUGAUCCAGCCAUUCCGCGUGCAGGAUGAAGGCCCUCGGGUUGUAAACUGCUUCUGUACGGAACGAAAAGGUCUCUCUUAAUACGGGGGACUCAUGACGGUACCGUAAGAAUAAGCACCGGCUAACUACGUGCCAGCAGCCGCCGUAA
rnacentral:rRNA from 1 species